rnacentral:tRNA from 1 species
AAAGCCCCUUCAGUUCCU